CCUACGGGUGGCUGCAGUGAGGAAUAUUGGGCAAUGCCCGCAAGGGUGACCCAGCAACGCCGCGUGGAGGAUGAAGGCCGUAAGGUUGUAAACUCCUGUUAGAGGAGAAGAUUAGUACCGAUUGGAUCGGUAUUUGACUGUACCCUCAGAGAAAGCCCCGGCUAACUACGUGCCAGCAGCCGCGGUAAUACGUAGUGGGCAAGCGUUGUUGGGAUGUACGGGGUCGAAGGGGCGCUAGCAAGUGAGAGGUGAAAUCCUACAGCUUAACUGUAGAACUGCCUUUGAUACUGUUAGUCUUGAGUUCGGGAGAGAGAGACGGAAUUCCAGGUGUAGUGGUGAAAUACGUAGAUAUCUGGAAGAACACCAGUUGCGAAGGCGGUCUCUUGGUCCGAUACUGACGCUGAGGCGCGAAAGCGUGGGGAGCAAACAGGAUUAGAUACCCGUGUAGUC
rnacentral:rRNA from 1 species